UCAAUCUUUUAAGUAGUGAACUUCUCAGUUGUGAUAAUAAGAAAAACUACUAACAUGUUAUGACUAGAGGACAUAUAAUAACUAUUUAGGGUCACAAGACGCGUCUCUUAUUUUAAAUCAAAUAAUUCAUAAAAUUCUCACUGCUUCAUUGUUUUUUCUUUGUUAGUUGUUGUAUCUGACCGAAUUAUUGUCUUUAUUUCAACAUUAAAUUAUAUCUCAGUCGAAAUUAUGGUUACACUAGGGGUCCACCUUUGCAUUUUUUUCUCACUUCGCUUGAAAAAGUAGAAAGUCGAUUGAAUGAAGCGUUCUUAGCGUUAUAGUACCGAACCAUUUUUUGGACAUGGGUUCCCUUUUUCGUCCCUAAAACCUGAAACUGGUGGUCCGAUAUAUUUUUCCUUUGAUAAAAACCAACCCAGUUGGCAUUGCUAACGAACAAAAAAACCUCGACUCGAUUUAAUAUUCGGUUGCCGAGAUCAUUACCGCCGAUGAAGGACUCAAGCCGCACGUAUAGCGUUCCGUUCGCUUCGUUCACGUCACUAAAUAGUUUUUAAAUUAGGCAGUGUAUUCAACGUCGAGGUACGGAGCGCCAGUGAUCAUAUUAGGACCUCAUAGAUACAACAUCAGCAAAGGAAACAGGGGACCAAGGACCCUAUGGAGAUGUACGAAGAGAUCUAGCACGGGCUGCAAGGCUACCAUCGUCACCGUCAAUAAUGUUGUUAUACAGAGAAACUAUGAACAUGUGCAUUAAAUAAAAAUGUAUAUCACG